CGAACGGUAACAGGAAGCAGCUUGCUGCUUUGCUGACGAGUGGCGGACGGGUGAGUAAUGUCUGGGAAACUGCCUGAUGGAGGGGGAUAACUACUGGAAACGGUGGCUAAUACCGCAUAACGUCGCAAGACCAAAGAGGGGGACCUUCGGGCCUCUUGCCAUCAGAUGUGCCCAGAUGGGAUUAGCUUGUUGGUGAGGUAACGGCUCACCAAGGCGACGAUCCCUAGCUGGUCUGAGAGGAUGACCAGCCACACUGGAACUGAGACACGGUCCAGACUCCUACGGGAGGCAGCAGUGGGGAAUAUUGCACAAUGGGCGCAAGCCUGAUGCAGCCAUGCCGCGUGUAUGAAGAAGGCCUUCGGGUUGUAAAGUACUUUCAGCGGGGAGGAAGGUGUUGUGGUUAAUAACCGCAGCAAUUGACGUUACCCGCAGAAGAAGCACCGGCUAACUCCGUGCCAGCAGCCGCGGUAAUACGGAGGGUGCAAGCGUUAAUCGGAAUUACUGGGCGUAAAGCGCACGCAGGCGGUCUGUCAAGUCGGAUGUGAAAUCCCCGGGCUCAACCUGGGAACUGCAUUCGAAACUGGCAGGCUUGAGUCUUGUAGAGGGGGGUAGAAUUCCAGGUGUAGCGGUGAAAUGCGUAGAGAUCUGGAGGAAUACCGGUGGCGAAGGCGGCCCCCUGGACAAAGACUGACGCUCAGGUGCGAAAGCGUGGGGAGCAAACAGGAUUAGAUACCCUGGUAGUCCACGCCGUAAACGAUGUCUACUUGGAGGUUGUGCCCUUGAGGCGUGGCUUCCGGAGCUAACGCGUUAAGUAGACCGCCUGGGGAGUACGGCCGCAAGGUUAAAACUCAAAUGAAUUGACGGGGGCCCGCACAAGCGGUGGAGCAUGUGGUUUAAUUCGAUGCAACGCGAAGAACCUUACCUGGUCUUGACAUCCACAGAAGAAUCCAGAGAUGGAUUUGUGCCUUCGGGAACUGUGAGACAGGUGCUGCAUGGCUGUCGUCAGCUCGUGUUGUGAAAUGUUGGGUUAAGUCCCGCAACGAGCGCAACCCUUAUCCUUUGUUGCCAGCGGUUAGGCCGGGAACUCAAAGGAGACUGCCAGUGAUAAACUGGAGGAAGGUGGGGAUGACGUCAAGUCAUCAUGGCCCUUACGACCAGGGCUACACACGUGCUACAAUGGCGCAUACAAAGAGAAGCGACCUCGCGAGAGCAAGCGGACCUCAUAAAGUGCGUCGUAGUCCGGAUUGGAGUCUGCAACUCGACUCCAUGAAGUCGGAAUCGCUAGUAAUCGUGGAUCAGAAUGCCACGGUGAAUACGUUCCCGGGCCUUGUACACACCGCCCGUCACACCAUGGGAGUGGGUUGCAAAAGAAGUAGGUAGCUUAACCUUCGGGAGGGCGCUUACCACUUUGUGAUUCAUGACUGGGGUGAAGUCGUAACAAGGUAACCGUAGGGGAACCUGCGGUUGGAUCACCUCCUUACCUUAAAGAA
rnacentral:rRNA from 2 species